AGUAGUUUGAUCCGUGGCUCGAGGACGAACGCUGGCGGCGUGCUUAACACAUGCAAGUCGAGCGGAGACAUAUACCGGAGAGCUUCGGCAGGAAGGGAUAUGUUUUAGCGGCGGACGGGUGAGUAACGCGUGAGCAACCUGUCCUUCACAGGGGGAUAAGAUACCGAAAGGUGUUCUAAUACCGCAUGAGACCACAGAGGCGAGUGCUUCAGGGGUCAAAGGAGAAAUCCGGUGAAGGGUGGGCUCGCGUCCGAUUAGAUAGUUGGUGAGGUAACGGCCCACCAAGUCGACGAUCGGUAGCCGACCUGAGAGGGUGAUCGGCCACAUUGGGACUGAGACACGGCCCAGACUCC
rnacentral:rRNA from 1 species